UAAUUAUUUAACUGGUUGUUUGUAGGAUGUGCUGGCAAUACUAUGUAGAUUACCACCGCUGCGUUAGGAAAAUGGGAGAGGACUACGAUGGAUGCAUGUACUUCAAAAUGGGUUACUCAACCCUCUGUCCCUCUGAAUGGACUGAGCAAUGGGAUGCACAACAGGAAAAGGGAUUUUUUGCAUGUCGUAUCAUGGAUAAAUAGCAAGUGGCAGAAUGUGUGUAGACUUAAUGAUUUGUGGAUGUUGUCAGGAUUCAGUGAUGAAGAUCUUGUGUUACAUUAAAUAUUAAUAAAAGACAUCUUUGAAUUAUAA